rnacentral:rRNA from 1 species
CUACCAUGCAGUCGAGGGGUAACGAUGGCUUCGGCCAGGCGACGACCGGCGCACGGGUGAGUAUCGCGUUUGUAACCUACCUCUAACUGGAGAAUAGCCCGAAGAAAUUCGGAUUAAUACUCCAUAAUACUAUGAAUUGGCAUCUUUUUAUAGUUAAAGCUCCGGCGGUUGGAGAUGGGCAUGCGUGACAUUAGUUUGUUGGUGAGGUAAUGGCUCACCAAGACUACGAUGUCUAGGGGGUCUGAGAGGAUGGUCCCCCACACUGGUACUGAGACACGGACCAGACUCCUACGGGAGGCAGCAGUGAGGAAUAUUGGUCAAUGGGCGAAAGCCUGAACCAGCCAUGCCGCGUGAAGGAUGACAGCCCUAUGGGUUGUAAACUUCUUUUGUACGGGAAGAAACACUUCUACGUGUAGAAGCUUGACGGUACCGUACGAAUAAGCAUCGGCUAACUCCGUGCCAGCAGCCGCGGUAAUACGGAGGAUGCAAGCGUUAUCCGGAUUUAUUGGGUUUAAAGGGUACGUAGGCGGAAAAUUAAGUCAGUGAUGAAAUCCUGCAGCUUAACUGUAGAACUGUUAUUGAUACUGGUUUUCUUGAAUGUAGUUGAGGUAGGCGGAAUGUGUAAUGUAGCGGUGAAAUGCUUAGAUAUUACACAGAACACCGAUUGCGAAGGCAGCUUACUAAACUACGAUUGACGCUGAGGUACGAAAGCGUGGGGAGCGAACAGGAUUAGAUACCCUGGUAGUCCACGCUGUAAACGAUGAUCACUCGUUGUUGGCAAUACAUCGUCAGCGACUGAGCGAAAGCAUUAAGUGAUCCACCUGGGGAGUACGAUCGCAAGAUUGAAACUCAAAGGAAUUGACGGGGGCCCGCACAAGCGGAGGAACAUGUGGUUUAAUUCGAUGAUACGCGAGGAACCUUACCUGGGCUAAAUGUAGAACGACGGAUCGGGAAACUGAUCUCUCGGACGUCUGCAAGGUGCUGCAUGGCUGUCGUCAGCUCGUGCCGUGGAGGUGUCGGUAGUCCAUACGAGCGCAACCCUCCAUCAUUAGUUGCCAGCGGGUAAAUGGCCGGGACUCUAU